GACGAACGCUGGCGGCGUGCUUAACACAUGCAAGUCGAACGGAAAGGCCCUGCUUUUGUGGGGUGCUCGAGUGGCGCACGGGUGAGUAACACGUGUGUAACCUGCCCUUGACUUUGGGAUAACUUUAGGAAAAUGGGGCUAAUACCGGAUAGGAGAUCUUGCUGCAUGGUGGGGGUUGGAAAGUUUCGGCGGUUGGGGAUAGACUCGAGGCUUAUCAGCUUGUUGGUGGGGUAGUGGCUUACCAAGGCUUUGACGGGUAGCCGGCCUGAGAGGGGGACCGGCCACAUUGGGACUGAGAUACGGCCCAGACUCCUACGGGAGGCAGCAGUGGGGAAUAUUGCACAAUGGGCGGAAGCCUGAGGCAGCAACGCCGCGUGCGGGAUGACGUCCUUCUGGUGGUAAACCGCUGUCGCCGGUAACGAAGCGAGAGUGACGGUAAUGGGUAAAGAAGCACCGGCUAACUACGUG
rnacentral:rRNA from 1 species